GUUCGGAUUGUAGUCUGCAACCCGACUACAUGAAGCCGGAAUCGCUAGUAAUCGCGGAUCAGAAUGCCGCGGUGAAUACGUUCCGGGUCUUGUACACACCGCCCGUCACACCAUGGGAGUCGGAAAUGCCCGAAGUCUGUGACCCAACCGCAAGGAGGGAGCAGCCGAAGGCAGGUCGGAUGACUGGGGUGAAGUCGUAACAAGGUAGC
rnacentral:rRNA from 1 species